UACGGGGGGGGCAAGCGUUGUUCGGAAUUACUGGGCGUAAAGGGCUCGUAGGCGGCCAACUAAGUCAUACGUGAAAUCCCUCAGCUUAACUGGGGAACUGCGUGUGAUACUGGAUGGCUUGGAUUUGGGAGAGGGAUGUGGAAUUCCAGGUGUAGCGGUGAAAUGCGUAGAUAUCUGGAGGAACACCGGUGGCGAAGGCGGCAUCCUGGACCGAGAUUGACGCUGAUGCGCGAAAGCCAGGGGAGCAAACGGG
rnacentral:rRNA from 1 species